CUGGCCCAUUCCACCCCUUUCUUUUCCCAUUGCAACUUUUCCCCCAUCAAUGUUUCCAGUAAUAUUAGAAAGUGACUACAGAUGAGAAGUAAUUAUCUAGCUAAAUCUGGUGCAGUGGUAUAUUGUACAUUGGGUCAGCAACAGGCAGCCUGUGGGCCAAAAUCCUGCCCGCAAAUUUUUUAAAUGUUUUUUUAAUUGAUCGGGAUUGUAUUUUUAUUUAAUUUUUUAAAGACAAUCACUAGGAAUUCAGAUAAAAAAUGAGUUUAAUUUAGGAAAUAUGUUCCCAAGUAUUCCCACAAAUAAAAGAGAUGUGAUUGUGUCUCGGUGUGUAAUCAAGGUGUAAAAGUAUUAUUUUCGAAUAGUCUCUUUCGGAUCAGUUAGGGCCAUUAUGUGGAUCCUUUAGAUAUUUCAUUUAGAAUUUUAGGACCCAUUUCCCCCCAAAAUAUAAAUGUUUUAUUUGAUAACAUUUUCCAUUUGGCCUUUACUGGUAUAGAGCAUAUAUUCAUAAUUGGCACACACAAAAAAAUACAGUAAAGAAUGAAAUCAUAAGAAAAAAGGUUUUGAAGUGUCUGUCUUAUAUCUAGGAGAUAAAAGAAAGCUCAGGAAAUAUUUACAAUAUUACUUUUUUUGGACCACCUAUAUUUUUGGGAUUACAAAACAAACCCCCAUCCUACCAUUAAUUUGUAUGGGUUACCGUCAGAUGAAGGUUUAAUAUCUAUAUAUAUCUCCUUUGUAUGGGUUACCUUCAGAUGAGUCCAGUGACACUCGUGGGGGUCAUAGACAGUGUUCCCUCUAAGAUGCGCGCGUGUACGGCCACGCACUUCCCCCAGGACCGCAGCGCAAAAGAAGUGCCAUGCCGCGCAGAGACGCAAGAGGUUGAACUUCACUGAGUUCGCCUUAUCAGUUUGCACUAUAUAGAUUUUAUUUUAAUGUAUGUGAUCGAAUCAACAUUAUAUCAGCCUCUUUUCAAUGCACCGAAACAAAUCUAACUUUUGCAAGAUUGAGUCUGUGAUUUUAUUGGCAGAGCCAGAGCGCAACGGAGGAUUCUAUUGGUGAGGGUAGCCUCACGAGUCUCUCAAUCACCCGCGAGUAAAUGCGCUUUUCACAUCAGAGCCGCCCUUGUUGCACUUUUGUUAAUAUUCUUUCACUAGUUAGUGAGUUAUUAGCCCGGUUAUAGAUAAGUAUAGGUCAACAAUGGGGAGUUACUACUAGUACUAGUUUUUUAUGCUAACAAUGCCUGCAAUACCGCGUUCGGCCUAGAACCUCCGUGGCUUCAGUGAGAGGGGGCACUCUGUCUCCCCGGUCUGCAGCGUCGCGUUCAAUUCCAAUGUUCUUGUUUAUUAUAGACCAGACAUUCGAGAGGGGAGAUAGGUGGUUUUCACUAGUUACCACAGCCGCAAAGUCAAAAUAGUUUAUAUCGAAAAAAAUGUAUUAAAACAAACAUUUGCUUUUUUGCUUAUAAUUGAAAGUUAAGGUUAGGCAUAUGUUAGGUUUAAAAUCUGAUUUUAAGAGAAAUUCUAGAAAUAGGCGUGGUUUAAUGCCUUUGUGGUUGUGACAAACGAGAUGGAUUCCGCAUCCUGUCUGUGUGUCUGUGUGGAAGGUCGUAGCACAUGCUCAGUUGUGUCUGGUAGAAACGGGAGCUCGAGGUGGGGAUACGCUGUGAGGUCACAGCACCAGCUCAGUGGAAGCCCCUCUCUGAGAGCAAGCGCUCUGCGCCGUCCUCCAUUUUGAGCACCUGACAAUAGGUGGGAAGGGGAGAGAGAGAGAGUGAGUCGAUUCACAACGACCACUUCAAUUCUAGACAAACUGUCAACAAACGAGCCUUAGAGAUUGGUGUCAGAAAUGGACGACAUGUUUGCUACUCGGAGGAGAAAUGAGACACAGAAGCAAGGCUGGUGCCGACUCCAUUUUGCAGUAGCCCACUCUGUCUGUUCUCGUGUUUACAAUCGAGCCGACAUGGCAGCCCUGAGAAGCUUUGUGCAGACACACACUCUCGCUCCAGCUGAUACAUGUGAUCAUGUCAAAGAAAUACUUCAUGUUGUAGGUGUUUCGGGAGUCUGUGUGGUUGAUUGGAGAAGUCGUUUUUUUUUUCGCACAGUUUUUGUAAUAUUAUGACGGCGUUAUAGUCGUGCGAGGAUUGGACGGAUCGGAUGUUUGGGGCGGGGUUUCCCCUGGUAAAGUUGCACCAUGCUGGAUCAGGACUGUUAUUGUUUUGGUUCAGGAAGUAACAAUACAAAAGAUGCCUGUUUGGUCUUGCAUGUGUCAUUUUCUAGACUUGACAUGAAAUAUGUUGGGAGCCAUUCCUGUUGUACAGGACAUGGCUAUCCAAGUUGCACUGACUAUUACUCAUCCGAUACAAAAUAGACACAAGUUUGUGUCCGUCCGAAUACUUAUACUCGCGUACUACGUCCUUAAACUGGAUACUAAUUUCUGCGUUUGAUCAAGUAUAAUUCACUCGUCUUUUCCGACUUAACAGCUGAUAAUCAGAUAGUUAACGCGAUCGCGAACUAGAUGGGAGCAUAGCAUGUGGAGUUCUAUUUUCGAAAUUUCACGUACUAGAAAACUGUAUAUUUUUUCGCAUACUAUAAUUAGUACGCUAGAAUGGGUAUUCGGACAUAGACUGUUAAUAGAUACAUAUGAUACUGCUGCAUGUUCAGGUAUAAUAAUAUGAUCAAAUAUGACUUUCCUUGAAUAUUACUCAUAACGUACAUAGAGAAAUGUACCCCAAUCCCUAACAUUUUUUUUAUUUUUAUAAAAUAUAUAUAUAUAUAUAUGGAUUUAUUAAUAAACGGGUUCAUAAGUGUCAA